GACCUGCACUUCGGGAUAAGCUUGGGAAACUGGGUCUAAUACCGGAUAGGAACCAUCUUUAGUGUGGUGGUUGGAAAGUUUUUUCGGUGUAGGAUGAGCUCGCGGCCUAUCAGCUUGUUGGUGGGGUAAUGGCCUACCAAGGCGGCGACGGGUAGCCGGCCUGAGAGGGUGUACGGCCACAUUGGGACUGAGAUACGGCCCAG
rnacentral:rRNA from 1 species